CUACGUGCCAGCAGCCGCGGUAAUACGGAAGGUCCAGGCGUUAUCCGGAUUUAUUGGGUUUAAAGGGAGCGUAGGCGGACGAUUAAGUCAGCUGUGAAAGUUUGCGGCUCAACCGCAAAAUUGCAGUUGAAACUGGUUGUCUUGAGUGCACGCAGGGAUGUUGGAAUUCAUGGUGUAGCGGUGAAAUGCUUAGAUAUCAUGAAGAACUCCGAUCGCGAAGGCAUAUGUCCGGAGUGCAACUGACGCUGAGGCUCGAAAGUGCGGGUAUCGAACAGGAUUAGAUACCCUGGUAGUCCGCACAGUAAACGAUGAAUACUCGCAGUGUGCGAUAUAAUGUAUGCUGCCAAGUGAAAACGUUAAGUAUUCCACCUGGGGAGUACGCCGGCAACGGUGAAACUCAAAGGAAUUGACGGGGGCCCGCACAAGCGGAGGAACAUGUGGUUUAAUUCGAUGAUACGCGAGGAACCUUACCCGGGCU
rnacentral:rRNA from 1 species